AAUAAUAAAACGAUGAGAUUGAGAGACGUGAAAUUAAGGUUCAUGGUAUGUGAUAAAUGGGUAUGUUGAAUUAAUAUUAACAUUUUCGAUUAAUUGUAUAAAGUUGACUUCAGUUAUGGGCAAUAUUUUUUUUGUUUUAUUGAUAAGGGAAACGAGCCUAGCAAAAGUAGCUAAGGCUUAACAGUAAGAGGGAACGCAGUCCCUAAGGUAUCGCUACGCAGCCAGAAUUCAACACCAGGAGGGGGAAAAAGAAGACUGUGGAGCCCAAGAGGUAACGAGAGAGCAAAAGUAGCAAGAAAAUCAGGUGCGAAGUUUGCCUCACUGUAGAUAUGGUGCACAAAAACCUGCCAAUUUUGAGCGAGAAGAGCCUUGAUACUCUUGACAAGGGGAGACGAAGCAUUAAGCGUAUCAUUUUGAGCCUCCAAAAGCUAAAUCACGCAUAAGCUAUCAGCCUCAACAAUCAUCGAUCUGAUACCCCCGUUCCAUGCCAUGAGGAGACCCUGAUAAAGGCCCCACAGCUCAGCAAUUGUGAUUGAACACAGCCCAAUGUUCAUUCAAAAUCCUUCAACACAUUCUCCACAAUUGUUUCUGAUUAAGCCACCAGCAGAAGCCAAAUCCGAGGCCUUACGAGCUCCAUCCGUGUUCAACUUGAAGAAAGGCUACACAGGAGGCACGAAGCCAUAGUACAUCUCUACUCUCGUGGGCUUGUCCGUUAUGGCAAUUUAAUACAUAUUGUUAUUAAAAAGUAGUGCUAAGAGAUUAGUGUUAAAAAUUGUAUGUUUAUUAAGGGGUAAAAAUGUUAUUUUGUG
rnacentral:lncRNA from 1 species